rnacentral:rRNA from 1 species
CCCUUAGAUGUUCUGGGCCGCACGCGCGCAACACUGAUGCAUUCAACGAGUCUAAAACCUGCUCUGAUAGGGGUGGGUAAUCUUUUGAAUGUGCAUCGUGAUUGGGAUAGAUGAUUGCAAUUUUUCAUCUUCAACGAGGAAUGCCUAGUAAACGCAAGUCAUCAGCUUGCAUUGAUUACGUCCCUGCCCUUUGUACACACCGCCCGUCGCUCCUACCGAUUGAAUGAUCCGAUGAAUAUCAUGGAUUGAGGAUGCAAGUAGGUUAGCCUAUCUUCAUCUUCGAGAAGUGAAGUAAAUCUUAUCAUUUAGAGGAAGGAGAAGUCGUAACA